GCAGCUGCUGCAACAGCAACAGCCGCAACAGCAGCGGAAAAGGAGAAAAAGCAGAAGGAGCAGAAGGAGCAGGAAGAGCAAGAGAACGAAGAGGACCAGGAGAACCAGGAACACCAGGAGGAGGAGGAGGAGAAAUAAUGAGUGACUGUGUCUACGUAUAUUGGAAGAGUUUGCUGGGGUAUUAAUGUUGCUUCAUUGGAGAAAUGUGUACUCAAAGAAUUACUGAUGUAGAGUCUCACUGUGCUGCCAUCUGAAACUUCAAGCUCAUUACUGAAACCAUGCUUCCUCUCAGCAUCACGAGAAGAUCACAACAGAUGCAGAUCACCACACUUAGCUAGUGAUCAACAUGGAAAUAAGUCAGAGAUAAAGAUGCUUUAAGUAUGGGGAAUAGACCCUUUGAGGUAAGAGACUUUCUCAGCAUAGAGAGAAAUGUUUAUCUAAAAAUAAUUGGGAAUCAUUUGUUCUUGUCAGUGAGAAGCUGAUAAUCAGUUGUGCCAAUUUCAGACCUUUGAAUGGAGCCACAGUUUGGAAUGAUAUCUGAGUUCUUGAAGGGAAAGAGGGUGAACAUGUUUGGCUUAAUGCAGGGUGGCUGCAUGAAGCCAGAAAGCAUGAUGGAGCAAAGGCACUUGAGUGUCUAUGUGGGGAGGCUGAGUAGCAGUGGAAUAGGAUUCUAGCUAGUUUGGAAUGAAAUUCAUAGACAAAUGAUCAUGCAUACCUCAGGAGUGGUUAAAUAAGCAACUUCUUUAGAGCAGCCAUUAGCAGGAUCAGACCGUUGGACCUGCCUUACCCCAAUCUGUUGUAGCUUAUAGAUAAGAUAUAUAAACAGUUUGUGGGAGAGAGACCAGACAGAAAGAAAUAGAGGUCAGAGAAAAGAGAAAUAGAGGAU
rnacentral:sRNA from 1 species